rnacentral:lncRNA from 1 species
UGUGCUCUGUCUCAUUUAAUUCUAAAAUUUGGCACUGUCUCAACUUAAAAAUAAGGAGAACAGAAAUGAUACAUUUUCUCAAGUUCACAGAGCCAAUAAAGGGAAGACAUGGGAUUUGAAUAGCGGAUUUUUGUUGUUGUUGUUCCAAAUUGUGUCUCUAAUCUUAUGCCAAGCGAUCUCUGAAAAACAGGAUGUUAAUAAGACCAAUUAUUGAGUUUUGUGACAAAAGUCUCAUCUUUUCAAAAAUUUUAGAAACAAAGUCUUAUCACUACUAUAGAUGAUAGACAAGUUUACAUGACAAUGCUGACUACCUUGAUUGAAUGGUUAGAAGGAAAGUAAGGGAAUAUUUGUGGAACGAAUGAACCAAUAUUAUAUCAUUCUUUGAUAUACCUGAUAAUGUUAUUUCUCCCUCCUCUUUUCUAGCCAAAAUAAUAUACAAUUCAUAUUUCACAUCAAUGUGGAGUUUUCCUCAACAGUCCUUUGUCACCCAAGCUUGGAUAAUUUUGUGUGGGAGAAAGAAUGGGGAAUUCUUAAAUCAAGACAUGGACAUAAAAAAUUUUAGGAGUUCCCGUUGUGGCUCAGUGGAAACGUAUCUGACUAGCAUCCAUGGGGACACAGAUUCGAUCCCUGGCCUUGCUCAGUGAGUGAAGGUUACGGCAUUGCCGUGAACUGUGGUGUAAGUUGCAGAUGUAGCUCAGAUCUGGAGUUGCUGUGGCUGUGGCACAGGCCAGCGGCUAUAGCUCCGAUUGGAUCCCCAGCCUGGGAACUUCCAUAUGCCUCAGGUGCAGCCCUAAAAAGGUAAUAAAAUAAAAUAAAAUAAAAAAUAAAAAACUUUUAGUCUGUAACUGCCUGGCAUUUUUAGCUUUCAUGCUUCCAUCCUCUUCACUAUAAACCUAAGCUUCUUAAGAGCAGAUAUUAGAUCUUAUAAGUCCUAGUAUUUAUUUUGUAAUUCUUUACAUGCAUAAAUUGUGGCAUUUGUAUGGAUGAAAAUAUGUAUUAGUUGUCAUGUUAUUUACAAAUGAGAGUUUGCUAUAUACUACAUAUAAGUUAAUUUUUUGAGAUAGAAUUCUGACCAGAUAAUUAAGAAAAGAAAUCAAGGCUAAAGUAUAUCAGUGUGUAAAGGAAUAAACCAUGAAGCUGAAACAAAUAACCUAGUACAAGUAAGUCUAUCUUGAAUUAAUGUCAUCUUACGAUCAUGGAAGAUCAAAAAUAAAUUUUCAAAAUGAGAGACUUAUGUUUUGAUGUGAGAAAAUAUGAGGGUCAGAGCUGAAUCGCAUUAACCCAAAUGUGUAAAACGUAUUGACACUGCCCAGCUGAUGGUAUUCAGAAUGUUAAACUAAGGCAUUAAAAAAAAAAUGUUGCUUUUCCAAGGCUAUUGACCAUAAUGAUUGCAAAACCAAAGGUUUUUUGCUGAAAGUCUGUACAGAACUAAACCUGAGAACUCACUCCUUUUCCCAAAUGAGGUUUUUGACAAAUGGAAAGUAAGUUGAAAGUAGAGAUAAGGAAGAAAAAACAAGUGUAGAAAAUUUUCUUUGUUUUUGUCUUGGUUUUUAACUGGUAGGGGUCAAGGAGCCUGAGAACAAAAUCACUGACUCUUUCAUGUUUUCUCCAUUUUAUCACAAAUGUUAAUUUAAUAUAUGAGGUUUUAAUGUGCAUGAUUUUUUUCGAUUUGUUCCUUAUCUUGUGUUUCCUUCAGCAAUGUCUUCUGAAAGUGAAAAUAUUUAAAGGAAAUAGGAGUUUAAAAAAGUAUAUUUUAUGUAAUUCAUUAAAAGUAUUCUUUUGAUUCUACAGAUUGGGUGCAAAAAGAGAGAAAAACACUGGAACCUUAAGGGAUAUUAAUUCAAGAGCAGACAGUAGCUGAUUUAUCUUAUCUCCUAAGUGAUGUGGUUAUUUCUACAUGAAAUCAAGUAACCUUUUGAAAAAGGGAGGAAAAUCAGUCAACCACUUUUUUCUUUAUAAAAGUGAUAAAUAAAACAUUUCAUGUAUUUUUGUUUCCUGAAAGAUUUAUUUUUAGUUGAGUUGUGUGAUCAGUUAGUCAGUGUAGCAAAAGUUUAAUUUCUUAUUCAUGUAUUUUGCUUCUUUGAAAUUACAAAUUUCUUAUCUUAUGGAAGCUUUUCCAUGGAUGACAGAAGGUUCAAUCUGUGACAAAUCUGUGGUAGAGCAAUGAAAAAAAAAUGCUUGCUAAGAAAGUGCUUGCACUUGAGAGUUUAAAAAUAUCUACAAAUUGUAUAUUCCAAAAUUUAUUAAGCUGUCAGCAACUCCAUGGAUACAUCUCAUUUAUCUGUUUGUUUAUAUCUUUAGGGCAUACCUCAGUACUUGGCACAUAGUAAGUGCUUAAUCUAUCCUUGUUGAGAGUAGAAACUUUUUCAAAAUAUUCAAUUUCAUUUUAUGAAUAAUAGGCCCUAAGGAAAUAACUUCUAGAAUAUUGUUUUUUUGAGACAGUUUAUCAGUUGAAGACAUAAGUAGGAUUUUGGUUUGGAAGAUUACUCUCCCACGGAUGCUAAUUAACAUAGCAAUUAUAUAUAACUAAAUCCAACAUCUUCCUCUGAGGAAACUGAUAGGAAAAUUAAUAUUAGUCUUAAAUAAAAUAUUUCUGUCAUUUAAAUAAAAUAAUCUUUGCUAGAUGAAGGUAGAAGGGAAAUGGAGAUGGGAAGAGUAUGAGAUAUUUUUUAAAUCAAGAUUAUCUAUACUGAAGUAAUUUUUUCUAGUGCUUUUAAAGUUGUGAAUAAGGAGUUCCAAGUGAAAUAUAUUAAGAAAUAAAUAUAUACACUAGAAUUUGCUUUCAUUACCUUAAAAAUAAAUUAGUUUGUAUACACUAAGAGUUGACAAUAAAAUGAUAAACUGCUAAAAGGUUUUGUGUUCAAGCUAAAUUUGGGAACUUGGACUAAUAAAAAUGUUUAAACUUAUUUGUACAGCUACAAAUUGCUCAUACAUGCUUAUUUUCUCUCCUAAAAUAAUUUUAUAAUUUCUCCCCUGAAACUGCUAUCUGUGUUAGUUGUUAAAAUUGUUUUGUUUUUUUAGGCAAAAAUUAAGUAAUUGAUACUCAGCUUAAGUAAGAAAAAUGUUCCAGUGGAUUUAACCUGGUUAAAUAUAUUAUUUUCUACAUUUCUGUUCAUCUUUGAAUUCUUAGGGCUUGAUUACUUAAAUUGUAUUUUCAAGUUUUAAGGGGUGAAUAAGCUUCUCUUAAAAGGUAUAUUUUCAAGUUUUAAAACCUUAAAGGAGGCAAAAUAAGACUUAGCAUUCUAACUGUCAUGAGAACUGCCUUUCUGGAUAUCUAACCCAUACCACCAAACCCCUGGAAAAAGCAUAUCACCUCAGAAAAUCAUUAAAUCACAAAAGAAGACAGUAAGAGAAGGAAAAAGAAACAAAGGAAUUACAACUCAAGCAGAAAACAAUUUUUUAAAUGACAAUACUAAGUCCACACCAAUCGUUAAUAGCUUGAAAUGUAAUCAGACCAGAUUAUGCAAUUAAAAGACGUAGAGUGUCUUU